UUCGAUUCCCUUAGUAGCGGCGAGCGAAACGGGAAGAGCCCAAACCAACAAGCUUGCUUGUUGGGGUUGUAGGACACUCUAUACGGAGUUACAAAGGACGACAUUAGACGAAUCAUCUGGAAAGAUGAAUCAAAGAAGGUAAUAAUCCUGUAGUCGAAAAUGUUGUCUCUCUUGAGUGGAUCCUGAGUACGACGGAGCACGUGAAAUUCCGUCGGAAUCUGGGAGGACCAUCUCCUAAGGCUAAAUACUCUCUAGUGACCGAUAGUGAACCAGUACCGUGAGGGAAAGGUGAAAAGCACCCCGGAAGGGGAGUGAAAUAGAACCUGAAACCGUGUGCUUACAAGUAGUCAGAGCCCGUUAAUGGGUGAUGGCGUGCCUUUUGUAGAAUGAACCGGCGAGUUACGAUUUGAUGCAAGGUUAAGCAGUAAAUGUGGAGCCGUAGCGAAAGCGAGUCUGAAUAGGGCGUUUAGUAUUUGGUCGUAGACCCGAAACCAGGUGAUCUACCCUUGGUCAGGUUGAAGUUCAGGUAACACUGAAUGGAGGACCGAACCGACUUACGUUGAAAAGUGAGCGGAUGAACUGAGGGUAGCGGAGAAAUUCCAAUCGAACCUGGAGAUAGCUGGUUCUCUCCGAAAUAGCUUUAGGGCUAGCCUCAAGUGAUGAUUAUUGGAGGUAGAGCACUGUUUGGACGAGGGGCCCCUCUCGGGUUACCGAAUUCAGACAAACUCCGAAUGCCAAUUAAUUUAACUUGGGAGUCAGAACAUGGGUGAUAAGGUCCGUGUUCGAAAGGGAAACAGCCCAGACCACCAGCUAAGGUCCCAAAAUAUAUGUUAAGUGGAAAAGGAUGUGGCGUUGCCCAGACAACUAGGAUGUUGGCUUAGAAGCAGCCAUCAUUUAAAGAGUGCGUAAUAGCUCACUAGUCGAGUGACACUGCGCCGAAAAUGUACCGGGGCUAAACAUAUUACCGAAGCUGUGGAUUGUCCUUUGGACAAUGGUAGGAGAGCGUUCUAAGG
rnacentral:rRNA from 1 species